AACUGCACAAGAUAAUCAUUUUCCCGUGUGGUCGGGUUAAGUGGACCGCACGGGUUAAUAGAUUAUCCCGUGCGGUC
rnacentral:pre_miRNA from 19 species